rnacentral:misc_RNA from 1 species
AGUCGUAACAAGGUUUCCGUAGGUGAACCUGCGGAAGGAUCAUUACCGAGUGAGGGCCCUCUGGGUCCAACCUCCCACCCGUGUUUAUUUUACCUUGUUGCUUCGGCGGGCCCGCCUUAACUGGCCGCCGGGGGGCUUACGCCCCCGGGCCCGCGCCCGCCGAAGACACCCUCGAACUCUGUCUGAAGAUUGUAGUCUGAGUGAAAAUAUAAAUUAUUUAAAACUUUCAACAACGGAUCUCUUGGUUCCGGCAUCGAUGAAGAACGCAGCGAAAUGCGAUACGUAAUGUGAAUUGCAAAUUCAGUGAAUCAUCGAGUCUUUGAACGCACAUUGCGCCCCCUGGUAUUCCGGGGGGCAUGCCUGUCCGAGCGUCAUUUCUGCCCUCAAGCACGGCUUGUGUGUUGGGCCCCGUCCUCCGAUCCCGGGGGACGGGCCCGAAAGGCAGCGGCGGCACCGCGUCCGGUCCUCGAGCGUAUGGGGCUUUGUCACCCGCUCUGUAGGCCCGGCCGGCGCUUGCCGAUCAACCCAAAUUUUUAUCCAGGUUGACCUCGGAUCAGGUAGGGAUACCCGCUGAACUUAAGCAUAUCAAUAAGCGGAGGAA